rnacentral:tRNA from 1 species
GGCCUCGUCGUCUAACGGCUAGGACACGAGCCCUUCAAGCUCGUAAUACGGGUUCAACUCCCGUCGAGGCCACUA